GUUGGUUUGGAGAAAGGAGGCCUUGGUUCACCAAAGUGAUCACAAAUUCAAGUAAAGAAGACUAGAGGAAAAGUUUUUCGACGAAACGGGAAGUGAGUUUGGAAAGGCUUAAGGAGCGCGAAAGGUACUGACGACAGGUUCGCUGAUCCACACGUUUAGGAUCCUAUUUCUGCUAUUUGGGGCGCUAUCUUCUACAGAGCCCAUCUUUUGGUACAGUCUGUCACUGCUAUCUG